ensembl:rRNA 5S_rRNA 5S ribosomal RNA
GGCCACAGUCAUAUCAACCUGCAGCCCAAGACUGGUUACUUACUGAAGCUAAGCAGGGCUGAGCCUGGUCCGUAGCUGGAUUGGAGAACACAUGGGAAAACUAAGUUGCUGUUGGAA